UACCCUGGUAGUCCACGCCGUAAACGAUGUCGACUUGGAGGUUGUGCCCUUGAGGCGUGGCUUCCGGAGCUAACGCGUUAAGUCGACCGCCUGGGGAGUACGGCCGCAAGGUUAAAACUCAAAUGAAUUGACGGGGGCCCGCACAAGCGGUGGAGCAUGUGGUUUAAUUCGAUGCAACGCGAAGAACCUUACCUGGUCUUGACAUCCACGGAAGUUUUCAGAGAUGAGAAUGUGCCUUCGGGAACCGUGAGACAGGUGCUGCAUGGCUGUCGUCAGCUCGUGUUGUGAAAUGUUGGGUUAAGUCCCGCAACGAGCGCAACCCUUAUCCUUUGUUGCCAGCGGUCCGGCCGGGAACUCAAAGGAGACUGCCAGUGAUAAACUGGAGGAAGGUGGGGAUGACGUCAAGUCAUCAUGGCCCUUACGACCAGGGCUACACACGUGCUACAAUGGCGCAUACAAAGAGAAGCGACCUCGCGAGAGCAAGCGGACCUCAUAAAGUGCGUCGUAGUCCGGAUUGGAGUCUGCAACUCGACUCCAUGAAGUCGGAAUCGCUAGUAAUCGUGGAUCAGAAUGCCACGGUGAAUACGUUCCCGGGCCUUGUACACACCGCCCGUCACACCAUGGGAGUGGGUUGCAAAAGAAGUAGGUAGCUUAACCUUCGGGAGGGCGCUUACCACUUUGUGAUUCAUGACUGGGGUGAAGUCGUAACAAGGUAACCGUAGGGGAACCUGCGGUUGGAUCACCUCCUU
rnacentral:rRNA from 1 species